rnacentral:lncRNA from 1 species
CCACACUUCAAGACAAGCAGUUCCUCUCAAGCAAAGUCAAAAAGAUAGUAGAAUCGGCAAGCAAACCAGAGUAUAAUGGACCUACAAUAAAGUUUUACCAUGAAACUGUUAACCCGAGUUACAAAAUCACCUCAACGCUUGAUGCUUUAGUAGCUCACAUAUCUCGCUCCAAAAACUACCGAGUUUCAAGGCUCGAUUCUUAUCCAUGGGUGGGUUCUUUUUGAAACCUUAGCAUGCCUUUACUUCUUUUGUCAUGCAUGGCUCGGAGCCUUUGUUGUGGCCAUCCAAGUUCAGUUUUCCCUGAACCCCCAAGGGGUUGCCAGACUGCACAAGAUAAGCAAUGUGCAAUUGAGGAAGAGGUUGAAGCAUAAUUUACUCCAAUUUUAGCUAUAGAAUUUAGACUAAAAAAGUAUUCAUUAUAGAAGAAGCUAAAAGUAAAAGAUACUUCGUGAUUUGGACUCAUGGAGGACUAAUUAACUUUGUCCCUUAAGCAAGAUAUGUUAAUUAAGCAAGAGACAAUCCUAUAUAGAUUUAACAAUAACUAUAAAAACUUAUAAGGAAAAGAUAAUAUAAAUUCUUUUCUCAAAAGCUCUUUCACAUCCUUCUCAAAAGAUAAUAUGUUUAUCUUUAUUCCUCUACAAAUCACAACAAUUCUUGGGAAAGCUCUUUUAGAAUAUUUAUGUCGAUACACAUAUUCUUAACUUAUACAAGAAUGAACAAUUUUAAUGGAGAAAAACUCUGAUCAAAUUAAAAGCGAAUUUUCAAUCUGAUUUUUAUCAAGAAGAGCAUAGGAAUUAUUUUUCAAUAAUUUUCAAGUAUGAAUUAAAAAAAAGAAAGUAUAAAGAAUUUAUCUAAUUAUCUACGACCUAAUUUUAUUUAUUAUCAUUAAAAUUCGCUUGUAUUCAAAAGGUACGUCUAAUACGAUAAGCAGAUCUACUAGUCAGGCAUGUGAAGACCUGCAUUUUUCCCCCUCUUUCUUCUUCACCACCUUUUCUUCUUUGCUCCAAUGGUGUGGUGACCACGUGCCACCUCAAUCGCCUUUAGUUGCUAAUCUACUCUUUAUUCUUCCCAAAUCUCAAUGCCCCAACUCAUUAUCGAAAGGCUCCAGGUCUAAACAUCCAACCCCAGCCCCCUACCAUACAUAAAGUUUUUGUGUUACAAACUGUCAUGUGAUGUGCCAAACUUCCAUCUUAAAAAAAUACAUGGGCAACAUAUGGAGAUGCUAUCCCUAACUAGCUAUUGGACCAUGCAUGCAGAGGAUUUGGACUUGGAAUCAGAGAUUUGAUGAUGGAUGAUACGCCUUUGCAUUGUUAAUCUAAUUGGGUCUCGAUCAAGGAAAGGUUAAGAAACUUAGACCCUUUUAACUGUCUUUUUUUUGAUAAAAACGGAUAUAUUAAACCAAUUUAGAAUAAAUACAUUCGCGAGAUCAGAAAAUAAAAUCACCGCCAACCACAAUGUAGAUCAUGUGUGAUUAGCAACAUAUGACGCUAUCUAAUCUGCUGCAUUCUGUGCAUAUAUUUUACUUCAAAAGGCCUACGAGCUGCUACCAUUCUCUAACAAUUCUGAAAUAGUCGAACCAGCUGAAAGCCACCUAAUAACUGCAUUGAAGUCCUCUUCCAAGAUAAUAUGUGAAGCCUUCAAAAUUUUUGUGACAUACGAUAUACCUUCUUAUGCAGCAUGCCAUGCCACCAUUGGAAUAGUAGUGUCCAACAAUGUAACACCUAACGCACCACUCGCACUUCUAAUAAUAAAACUUACUCCACCCAAAUCAUUACUAUUUAACACGCCACUAUCAAAUUUAACCUUGAGAAAACUAGAAGGUGGUGGUUCCCAAGUAAAUUAACACAUAUAAGGGAACAAAGAAUCUGCAAUAGGAGAGACACAAUUUUCCCCGACUAUCAAGGAUACCUCAGGGGCAGUGGCAUUAAUGUAUUCUUAUGCUUGACCGACUACUUUCAAGAGAAUGAAUUUAGGAGUCCAACAAUUACUUUGAAAAAUACGGUCAUUUCUAGCCAACCAAAUAUUAUAAGUAAUAUACACCAUCAACACAACCUCUCUACCAUGACGACAUGCACAUGAUCUCUCAUAGAUGGUUUGGAGGAAGGUAUCAAGAGAGAGUGGGAAUAAUGUUUGCAUCAAUAAUAGGGGCCUAUCACCCAAUUUGAUUCUCUAACUUGCAAUGUAAAAUAACGUUUUCUAUUUUAAAGAAAAUAAAUAAUGGCAUAUAUUUUCUUAUGAUAAAGAAAAUAAAUAAUGGUAUAUAUCUCCUUAUGAUAAAGGAAACAAAUCAUGACAUAUAUCUCCUUUUGAUGAAGAAAAUAAAUACCGGCAUAUAAGAAAACAGAUUAUGGCAUAUAUUUAUUUAUGGUGAAGAAAAUAAAUAAUGACAUUCAAGAAAACAAAGCAUGGCACAUAUCUCCAUAUGAUGAAGAAAAUAAAUAAUGGCAUACAAGAAAAUAAAUCAUGAUAUAUAUUGUGCCACACAAUUUUGUAGCAAGUUUUUUUGUAAAGCUAUUAUAUAAGGUACAUAUCUCAUCCUAUCAAGUGUCAUGCUCUUGACAUAUUAUAUCAUCUUUACUUUUUUUUAGGGAUCAUUAUAGAUUACCAGCAUGUGGGAAAACCCAAUUUCACUGAGCCUACCCAUGGUUCAAAAUGCCGCACUUAACCCACCUAAGGUCAGAUCCUUUAGCUUCCAUUCUGCUCCAUUACCCAUUUGUGGUUUGACAUGCGCGAAUUUAUCUUCAGAAAGAGGUCUAGGGCUUAUUUUCAUUGGAUUUUCCUCCCCAAAGCUCCAAAAUGGUGCUUAUUUCUCCAGAUCCAAGCCUUAUUCUCCAAAUCUAAACCUCCUUCCACCAAUCCAAAGUACAAGAAUAAGAAACAACUCUAUCAUGUAAGAUAUAUUUUGCAGUUCUCAUUUCUCAUUUUCAAACUUGUUGAAUUUCUUAAAAAAUCCUUUGAAUAAGGUGAUGUAGAUGUUGUAAUCCAUGUCUUCAAGCUCAUCAUCUGCAAGUAAAUCCAGUAAUAGAUAGAUUUUGUGUAAUUGUGGGGAAGAUCAAUUGUAAGGGCAUCAUGGAUGGUGAAAAAUUUUGGAAGACGACUCUAGGGCUGGUUAUCAGAAAUAAUGAUUAUAAUUAAGGUAGGAUGCAGAACAAGAGCAAAGCAGAUGAAGAAUAUUUUCCCCUUUUGAUUUCAAUUUUGGUGCUUGGGUUGUUCUAUGGAAUGGGGAUGAACUAGAAUUAACAUUUUCAGUAGUGUGGAUCAUUUGAAUAGAUUCAUAUCUCACUUCAAUAUAGGGGUGUGUUCUCCAAAAUGAUGAUACAAUAUCCUUAGUUAAGAGUCAGCAUCCCUCAAAUCUAGUACACGGAAUAUUAUUGGAGGCAUAUAUAGAAGAAACCUAGAGAUGGCCAGUUCAGUACUAUGGAAUCCAAAAAAUUUCAAGUUUGACAGAGAUGCCUAGGCAUGUUAAGAGAUAUCCAUUAGGAAAUCACUCUUCUGAUACAAACAGUUCAAUCUCCUCAAGAAUCCCAAGGGAUGGAUUGCUUCAUCUCUUACUCGUCUCUUCAAGUUCUGACUUUCCAAGUGACUAAGAUUAUGAAGUAUGCUUAGUGAGAAUAGUUUUUCUAAAUCAUCCCUAGUAAGCAAAAUAUGCUAUUCCAAAAUAAUAAUGCACAACAAUAUACAAAUUCCAUGUGUGGUGAGCUUGGUAUUGCUAUGAUUUAAAUAUCUUAAAUUUGUUCCAACAUCUGCAAUUUGUUUGCUGAAAGUAUCAAAAAUCUAUUGAAGUUGAGAUCCAAAUGUUCAAGUUCUUUCAUUAUGACCAAAAAGUGAAUGUUGCAAAUGGACGAGCUAGACAUAUUAAGGAAUGUCAUAUGGUUUACUUCCACAUUGCAAAAUGUUUCAUCAACAUCAUCAAGAGUAGCUCCAAGAAGAGGAAGCUUUACUAAAGAAGCAUUAGCUUUGUAGCCUUCAUAAAUUAUAGAAUGAAUAGUGCAAUUGCUCAUGUUUAAACAUAUAAGCGAAGAAAGAUUUGGGAUGGUAGCCCAUACGAACCCUACCUCAUCCUUCUCGACAACAUCCACAUUGGACGGAGAUGAGAAAUGCUUAGUAGCCUCCUCCACAUCGAUCUUGAAGUACUUCAUGCUGCUCGAAGCUGCCAUCGCUAGCUCUUCUUUGGUUCUUUUCAUUUAUUUCUCUCUUUCUCUCUUUAGUGAAGGAUGGAAAAUGGCGAGGCAACUUUUUCCACUCAUUAGAUAGGGUGGGGCUGAAUGCAUGGAUUGGUUGUUAAAUAAUAAUGGUAACUGAGGGAAGGAAGAGAGGGGAGGUUUUAUAAGAAGAGGAGUGGAGAAGUGGUG